UCGGCUCGGGCUCCGCGGGCGGGCGGGCGGACAUGGCGGCCAACAUGUACCGGGUCGGAGAUUAUGUCUACUUUGAGAAUUCCUCCAGUAACCCGUACCUAAUCAGAAGGAUAGAAGAACUCAACAAGACUGCAACUGGCAACGUGGAAGCAAAAGUAGUGUGCUUUUAUAGACGAAGAGAUAUUUCCAACACGCUUAUAAUGCUUGCAGACAAGCAUGCUAAAGAAAUUGAGGAAGAAUCAGAAACAACAAUUGAGGCGGACUUGACUGAUAAACAGAAACAUCAGCUGAAACAUAGGGAGCUCUUUUUGUCUCGCCAGUAUGAAUCUCUGCCUGCAACGCAUAUCAGGGGAAAAUGCAGUGUUGCCCUUCUGAAUGAGACAGAGUCAGUAUUGUCAUAUCUUGAUAAAGAGGACACCUUUUUCUACUCACUGGUCUAUGACCCUUCAGUGAAAACACUGUUAGCUGACAAAGGUGAAAUCAGAGUGGGGCCUAGAUAUCAAGCAGACAUUCCAGAGAUGCUCUUAGAAGGAGAAUCAGAUGAGAGGGAACAGUCCAAAUUGGAAGUUAAAGUUUGGGAUCCAAAUAGCCCACUUACAGAUCGACAGAUUGACCAGUUUUUAGUUGUAGCACGUGCUGUUGGGACAUUCGCUCGAGCCCUUGAUUGCAGCAGUUCUGUGAGGCAGCCGAGUUUGCAUAUGAGCGCAGCUGCAGCGUCUCGAGACAUCACCCUGUUUCAUGCUAUGGAUACAUUGUAUAGGCACAGCUAUGAUUUGAGCAGUGCGAUUAGUGUCUUGGUACCAGUUGGAGGACCUGUUUUAUGCAGAGAUGAAAUGGAAGAGUGGUCAGCCUCUGAAGCUAGUUUAUUUGAAGAGGCCCUGGAAAAAUAUGGCAAAGACUUCAAUGACAUACGUCAAGACUUCCUCCCCUGGAAAUCAUUGACUAGCAUCAUUGAAUAUUACUACAUGUGGAAAACUACUGACAGAUACGUACAACAGAAACGUCUAAAAGCAGCAGAAGCUGAGAGUAAACUGAAGCAAGUGUAUAUCCCAACUUACAGCAAACCAAAUCCCAACCAAAUAUCUGCCAGCAAUGGCAAACCUGGUGCUGUGAAUGGAGCCGUGGGGACCACAUUCCAGCCACAGAAUCCCCUCUUAGGACGAGCCUGUGAGAGCUGCUAUGCUACACAGUCUCAUCAGUGGUAUUCUUGGGGCCCACCUAAUAUGCAGUGUAGAUUGUGUGCAACCUGUUGGCUCUACUGGAAAAAAUAUGGAGGCCUGAAAAUGCCCACCCAGUCGGAAGAAGAGAAAUUAUCUCCUAGCCCAACUACAGAGGACCCCCGUGUUAGGAGUCACAUGUCUCGCCAGGCCAUGCAGGGGAUGCCAGUCCGAAACACUGGGAGCCCAAAGUCUGCAGUGAAGACCCGUCAAGCUUUCUUCCUCCACACUACAUAUUUCACAAAAUUUGCUCGUCAGGUCUGCAAAAAUACCCUCCGGCUGCGGCAGGCAGCAAGACGGCCGUUUGUUCCUAUUAAUUAUGCUGCCAUUAGGGCAGAAUAUGCAGACAGACAUGCCGAACUAUCUGGAAGUCCACUGAAAAGCAAAAGCACUAGGAAACCUUUGGCAUGUAUCAUUGGGUAUUUAGAGAUCCAUCCUUCGAAGAAACCUAAUGUAAUUCGAUCUACACCAAGCCUGCAAACCCCCACUACCAAGCGGAUGCUAACCACCCCGAAUCACACAUCUCUGAGCAUUUUGGGGAAAAGGAACUACAGUCAUCACAAUGGCCUGGAUGAAAGGCUCAUGAAGUGAAGGCCCAGCUCUGUUCCAUCCUGCAGACCUUCCUCAGGAUGGCGGGAGGCUGUGAAGAACUCACAUGCUGCGUGUCGGACUGAGCUACCCCUAUUCAUCCUAUAAGCCAAGACUCGCUACACUGUCCCGCUGAUGUUCACAGUUGUUUCUGGGAAGGAGGCAGUCCUAUUUCCAGCACAUUUCAGUGGGAGACCUGCGGUGCCUCCUGGAGACUCAGUGAGGCAGGGGAGGAAACUGUAGGAGUGCACAUCCCCAGAGCUGCGUCUCCAUGUGUGAAUCAAUGUCACCUCGCUUUCCUCUCAGAGACCUAACUGUCCCACGGCGGGACCUGCCUGAAAAUUGAGGAGUGAAGAGAGCCCCUCAGCCUCCUCCUUGUCCAGCACUCUGCUCCCAGGCACCGCAGCUCCCCAGGCAGAGGAGAGCUCAGAGCUGCUGCUGCCCUGCAUGUGUCAGCUCAGCCCUGUUGGUGCUCUGAUGCUCUAAUGGAGGGACAUGGCAGCUUUCUGAAUGGAUUUUUCUUAAGAAAAGUGCCAGUGUUUAUGCACUUCAUGAUACCUGCCCCUCAUCCUCGCCGUAACUGUCACUUGGCUUUUUCUCAAUAGGUUUCAUCUUUAUUUAUUUAUUUUUUUAAUGGGAAAGUUUUGCUCUUACCCCUGCAUCCUAUAUUCGCCCCCCCCUCCUGGACCCCUCCUAGGUACAGAAUUAUGAGAUUCCGAAAAAAAAAAAUAAGAAAAUCAUUCUUCCAUAAGCCUGUGAACUCUUCAUAUCAUCUGUAUUUUAUUGUUGGAGAGAAGCUGGUGUUCUACUUGAUUCUGCUGGCCCCAGACAGCUCCAGCAAAAACAGAUGUUUAAACCGAGCUAAGCGUGUAUAUCACUGUGGCAAGCCAUCCGUGUACUGCCCUAUUUCCUGACAGCCAAGCCAGCCGCCGAACUACUGCAGCCAGGUCAGUCCUUCAACGAGUCACAAAUCACCCAGGUUUAUUUUAAGCAGAUGGAAUCUGUUUGGCCUAGGAGGGUGAAACAAGAGAAGUGUGUUUGCAGGUGAGUGUGUAUAUAUGACACCACGAGCUCCCCUCUCCAUUCCAGCUCAGACAUUGCUGUGAACACAUGCGCCUAGGCCCUGGGACAUGUGCCUGUGACCCAGUUUUCACUGGCUUGGGUCCUUCCUGUCUGCCCUCAGCACCAGCCUUUGCUGGCACCACUGGCUGGCCAUUCUGCAGCACUGUGCACACAGCUGCAGGGGUAGGAAUAACUUAGUGCCCCACAACUCCCCGAGCAUAUAAGAAUCUGGCUGCUUCCCUGUCCUCCAUUUGCAGCCACAGGCCACAGGCUCACAGCACUGUGAAAGAAAACUGGAGUCUGGCCUUCCAGCUGUCCCUGGGGUCUGCCACUGGAUGGCCAAACAGCCAGGUGGUUGCAGGAUAGAAUGACUACAAUUGAGCUGACACUCCCCUUCCCCCCCCACCCAGCCCUCAAGCAGAGUGAGGUAUCACUAAAAUGACGGUGCCCAGAUCCUCGGAGGCUGGGUUCAGCUCAGAAAAGAGAAUGUGAUGGAUGAUGGCUGGCUGAAGGCGAUGCCCAGAGCUCAAUCUCCAGUUUUGCAGCCCGCGUGGCUUCCCUUCUAAGGAGUUGCUUCUCAUCUUUGGCUUUUGCAAGGGUGACCUGGGGAUGUUCUCACCACUGCUAACUCUUGGAGCUGUUCUGGGUCUUGGCUCAGGGCCCCUACUAUGGGCCCAUGUUAGAGGUACCCAGUGAGUAGGGCAGAGGUGACAGGAAUUGCCCUCAGGGUUCUCCAGAGAGAAGCCCCCUCUGCAAAGACCCAGGGAGGGGAAGCAAAUGGCACUCUGCAUCACAUACCAUGUGGUAUGUUCUCUCUAAAGAAAGACAUGGGAAAGCUGUCUCUGUGUCCUGCCCUGGAUUUAUUGUCGCACAUGGACACAGGGUGUGCAAUGGCUCCCAGGCCCUUUCACACGCCUCUCCUGACCCGUGUGAAAUGUGACUGUUGAGAUGAGAAAAGUCCACUUCUGUGACUCCGCUGCCAGCCUUCACUCUGCCUUUUGGGAGAGGCCCUCCUCACCCAGGCCCAGGAAAGUUGGAGACCAGGGCCAAGGCCAGUGUGCAGGAAAUACAGGGAGUGCCCCCACCCUGGUUGUAGUUUACUUUUAGCUUUGGAGAAAGCGCUGCUCCUUUUGAGCCACAUGUGUGAGGAAAGCUGUUCCUUCACCUUGUAGUAAGAGCUCCUGGUUCUGCAGCCCCAUCCUCCUACAAAGAGGAUGUUGACUAAGAUCUUUUUGUUCUCACUUCAUCUCUGGAAAGUUCCCCAGCAUUCUGAUUGAACACUCAAGGGAAUAAAGAAAUGACACCAAGGAGGCUCUAACAUUUGCCUUGGCCAUUUUGAGCAGUUGGUGCUGAGAACGUUUCCCAGCCACCCAGCCCUUUCUAGGGCCACAGUGUUUCCGCUGUGUGUGUUAAGGGUAUGUCAGCAUUGUGCAGUGAACUUGUGGGCUAGAUAUGCGGGUGUGUCUGCACAGCCCACAGGUGUGCCUGGUGGCGCUGUGCUGAGCCUGAUCUGUGCUCCCUUGGAUGAGGACACGGAAGCUCACAAGCCAUCUUCCCAUUCUGCCAUCACUACCUGCCCACCCCUAGAGAUGGUGGCAAAGAGGAAGACAGACUGGGUGUUAGCCCACCUCUCACAGCUCCACUUUGCCCACAGCCUGGCUUAUUAGUCAGCAUGCAACCAGGGAAACAGAGGCCACUCCAAAUAUUGAAAACAGGGGCUUUUAUCCAGAGAAUCAUUGAACACAGACACCAGAAGAACCGAGAGGCCAUGCAGGAGAACAAGCGGCAACCUAGAGGUGGGGAACUGCCACCACCAGGGGCUGGUGGGACACAGGGGAGAAACCAUGUUACCAGAGCAGGGGAACUGGGGCCACUGGGAGGAACUGGGGACCAUGGAAGGCCUAUCUGGUGGGAGCUGGGGCCUCGAGGAAGCAGGGUCCCUACUGGAAACAAUCCCCACCCCACCCCCGGCAGGUGUGGGGAGGAAUAGCUUGGCUUCUCCUUUUCUCCUGCCCUACAGGUUCUUCAGGUACCUCUGGUUAGGGAAGCCCAGCUGGAGGCCAGCUGACCUGGGGUCCUGGCACAGGCACGUGGCAGCAUUCAGUCCCCACCUUUCAGAGCAGAGUGGGGAAGGCAGGCUGGGACAUGCAUGGCCUGGGUUUUCCCCAUGUCAUGUCCAGCCCAGUGUUUGUACCCCGUGCUAUCCUAAGACUCCGGGGAGGAUAGACGGAGGAACUGCCUCCCCCCGGGGUAGGGGGCUUUGUAGACUCACUCACCUAAAGAGGAAAAUGUUUUUGGAAGGGAGGGGUAAAGCCUUUAUUCUUAACAGUUGUCCCUGUUUUCCUUUGGGGGAAUUUACCCAUUUAGCCACCGCGCCUCACUGUUCCCCUCAAGAAAGCCAUGUCCCAGUUUCCCUUCCAUCCCUUGGCCUCCAAGUUCUGACUUGCCCUGCCAGAGAACACUGGCCCAGACCAUACAUAAGUGGUCAUGAGUGUUUCCGCAGGAUAAUUCAUUCUGAGCAUCAUAUUAGUGUGGAAUGUCUGUAAGUAGAUCCCAUCUACUAAUCAAUUUGUAUUGUGUUUCCAAUAAAUUUCUGGAGAUCA